AUGGGGGGAACCCUGACCGAGCAACGCCGCGUGAGUGAAGAAGGUUUUCGGAUCGUAAAGCUCUGUUGUAAGAGAAGAACGAGUGUGAGAGUGGAAAGUUCACACUGUGACGGUAACUUACCAGAAAGGGACGGCUAACUACGUGCCAGCAGCCGCGGUAAUACGUAGGUCCCGAGCGUUGUCCGGAUUUAUUGGGCGUAAAGCGAGCGCAGGCGGUUAGAUAAGUCUGAAGUUAAAGGCUGUGGCUUAACCAUAGUACGCUUUGGAAACUGUUUAACUUGAGUGCAGAAGGGGAGAGUGGAAUUCCAUGUGUAACGGUGAAAUGCGUAGAUAUAUGGAGGAACACCGGUGGCGAAAGCGGCUCUCUGGUCUGUAACUGACGCUGAGGCUCGAAAGCGUGGGGAGCAAACAGGAUUAGAUACCCUGGUAGUCCACGCCGUAAACGAUGAGUGCUAGGUGUUGGUCCUUUCCGGGACUCAGUGCCGCAGCUAACGCAUUA
rnacentral:rRNA from 1 species